GAUGAACGCUGGCGGCGUGCUUAACACAUGCAAGUCGAACGAGAGAGGAUCGGUGCUUGCACUGAUCCGAUCGAGUGGCGGACGGGUGAGUAACGCGUGGGUAACCUGCCUCAUACAGGGGAAUAACGGUUGGAAACGGCUGCUAAAACCGCAUAAGCGCACAGUAUCGCAUGAUACAGUGUGAAAAACUCCGGUGGUAUGAGAUGGACCCGCGUCUGAUUAGCUAGUUGGUGAGGUAACGGCCCACCAAGGCAACGAUAAGUAGCCGGCCUGAGAGGGUGAACGGCCACAUUGGGACUGAGACACGGCCCAAACUCCUACGGGAGGCAGCAGUGGGGAAUAUUGCACAAUGGGGGAAACCCUGAUGCAGCGACGCCGCGUGAGUGAUGAAGUAUUUCGGUAUGUAAAGCUCUAUCAGCAGGGAAGAUAAUGACGGUACCUGACUAAGAAGCACCGGCUAAAUACGUGCCAGCAGCCGCCGUAA
rnacentral:rRNA from 1 species